CAGUAGCCACGGUAAUACGAAGGGUGCAAGCGUUAAUCGGAAUUACUGGGCGUAAAGGGCGCGUAGGCGGCGCGGUAAGUCACUUGUGAAAUCUCUGAGCUUAACUCAGAACGGCCAAGUGAUACUGCUGUGCUAGAGUGCGGAAGAGGCAACCGGAAUUCUUGGUGUAGCGGUGAAAUGCGUAGAUAUCAAGAGGAACACCUGAGGCGAAGGCGGGUUGCUGGGCCGACACUGACGCUGAUGCGCGAAAGCCAGGGGAGCAAACGGGAUUAGAUACCCCUGUAGUCCCUGUCUCUUAUAC
rnacentral:rRNA from 1 species